GAGUAAUUAAUGAGUGAUAAAAGAGUUGAUUUAAUACAAGAAAAGAAGGGUCUAAAACUGGCGGCAGCGGUAUAGGGAUAAAUAGGGACAUGUGCUUACAGUGCUUUUGUUUAAUUUACUCUGACGAGAAAACGCCUCUUAUUUUCAUUAAGCUUUGCUCGUUUUAAGUGGCGGAAAUAAUAGUGACGAUUUAAUUAUAUAAUUAAUGGUUCUUCCGGAGGACAUGGACUUUGACGAUAUGGUAAUGGAAACUCUGGCCAACCACUGUUGUUCUGUAGUGCAAUGGGUAGCACACGCGACUCAACCGAGAAUUCAUGAGUUCUUUCCCGGGCGGAGUGGAGAGGGAUGGGCAGUCUCUCUCCACCCGCGCCGCGAUCCAUUCAUCAGUGAGAGGGUGUCAGGUGACAGGCAGCGGCAGCGUCCCGCCUCCCAGGUUUGUUUGUUUUAGGAUUGUUACCCCAGGAUGGAGGGGAACACGGGGCUCUACGCCUCACAGGGUGGAGGUGUGCCGCGGCGGGCAUGCAGCCAUAGAGUGACUUUAUAAAGGCCUAACCCGCGUCCCCCAGGUUCUCUUCGCAGUGCUGAGUCCAUCCCCCUACAGGAGCUAACAGCUGGCUUGCAGCCCCUAAAUUAUGUGGUCGAGCCGGAUCAGCCCUUUCAACCCGCAAUCCAUUGGUGGAUUGUCUUCGCCAUUGUCGUGAUCCUGGUUCUUCUGCUGGUGACGUCUGCCGUGGGGUAUUCCUAUGUCCUACGCUACGCACGACGCCGCCUAAUUCCAGACUCGAACCAACUGCAGACAUUGCAAGGCGUAUCUUCUCCACCAACACCUGUGAGAUCUCAGGGGCGAGAUC